rnacentral:rRNA from 1 species
UACAGAGGGUGCAAGCGUUAAUCGGAAUUACUGGGCGUAAAGCGUGCGUAGACGGUUUGUAAGUCAGGUGUGAAAGCCCCGGGCUCAACCUGGGAAUGGCAUUUGAGACUGCAUAGCUAGGGUGCGGAAGAGGGAAGCGGAAUUUCCGGUGUAGCGGUGAAAUGCGUAGAUAUCGGAAGGAACAUCAGUGGCGAAAGCGGCUUCCUGGUCCAGCACCGACGUUCAGGCACGAAAGCGUGGGGAGCAAACAGG